rnacentral:lncRNA from 1 species
GGGAACGCUGUGCAAAAUGGCGACGCCCAGUCUACGCGGCCGCCUGGCGCGGUUUGCGAACCCGGGAAAACCUAUACUGAAACCCAACAAGCCUCUUAUCUUAGCUAACCGCGUCGGGAACCGACGUAGAGAAAAGGGAGUUCUUCCCCUCCAGAGGCAACCUGUAUCACGGAGAUGUCGAUGAUGAUGGCUUGCUGGAAGCAGAAUGAAUUCCGCGACGAGGCGUGCAGGAAAGAGAUCCAGGACUUCUUCGAUUGUUCUUCCAGGGCUCAGGAAGCCAGGAAGAUGAGAUCAAUCCAGGAGUCUCUGGGACAGUCCGAGAGUUUAUCUCCCCACAAGAUGACCAAGUUGUUACAGAGAUUUCCCAACAAAUCUCAUCUCAUCUGAAAAUGGAGAAAUAUUUUCAAUGAACUCUCAUUUCCAAAAGCUAUACAGAGAGGCACGUUUGGGAGGUUUGCGGUUUGCAUUUGCAUUGCUACGAGUUUUUGAAGGGUAAAAUGAGGCAAAAUACUUAAUUUUGCUCUUUUGAAUGAAUCGUAUUCUGGAUGCUGUCUUGAAAUAAAAUCCUCU